rnacentral:rRNA from 1 species
CCCUGCGCAAGGGAUCUUUUGGCUCGCUGUGCGAUGAAGGGCGCGGCGGCAAGCGAUAUGUGGCGGAGCGGCAGCAACGAUGCCACGUGCCCGAAKCUGCGYAAGCAGGAUAACCCCUUGGAAUUAAGCAUAUGAGUAGAGGGAGGAAAAGAAACUAACAAGGAUUCCCGUAGUAGCGGCGAGCGAAGAGGGAAGAGCCCRRAGUGUAAUCGCGUGUUAUCAUGCGAGAUGUCGACAGCYGAGAGAACCGAUCUGGAAAGACGGGCCGCAGAGGGUGAUAGCCCCGUAACCGGCGACAGCGAGGGAGUAGCAGUGUUCGGUAUUGCACUGUGAACGGGUGGCAGCGUCCAUCCAAGGCUAAAUACGGCAGCGAGACCGAUAGUGGAUAAGUAGAGUGAUCGAAGAAGGAAUAGACUGAAAAGGUGAAAUUGCGCAGGGAGCCGAGUGGCUCGGCCCCGUCUUGAAACACGGACCAAGGAGAGCACCUACGUGGCGAGUCGAAGGCGGAUAGAGCCGGCGGCGCAGCGAAAGCGCGGCAGACACGUGGUUGCGACCCGAUAGACUAGUGAACUAUGCCUGGCGUCUGCGAAGGCUGACGAAAGACAGCUGGAGGCAGUAAGUCGUUCUGAUGUGCAAAUCGAUGGCAGCAGUUGGGCAUAGGGGCGAAAGACCAAACGAACAGUCUGGUAGCUGGUUCCCCCCGAAAUGUGCACAAGGACAGCACGCGAGCAGAGAGAGGCUAGGUAGAGCAAAGGUCGCUUAACGUAUGUGGCGAACGAACUGCGAAUGAGCCUGGCGCGGCGUGCGUUUUAAUGACGCCGCGCGAACUUGAGCGAGCGUAGUGGGCGAGUUCUGGUAAGCAGGACUGGCGAAGAGGAAUGAACCUGGCGAGGCGAUAAGGCACCCAAGACCGUGGCAGAGACAGAAGGAUGUAGGUGAAUGAAGACGAUAGGGCGGUGGCCAUGGAAGUCGGCAUCCGGUAAGAAACGUGUUGCAACGUACCUAUGGAAUUCAGCUGCACCGAAAAUUGACGGUGCUUACGCGGUUGCCGAUGCGCCUCUAGAGGUAGGGGGGCGGACCGAUGCUGCAGAAGGCGUGCCGCGAGGCGCGGUGGAGGCGUCGGUCGCGCAGAUCUUGGUGGUAGUAGCGAUAAUUCGUCUGUGAGGGCGAAGACCGAGGAGGAGAAGGUUUUCCUUACGAUGUGCAACAGUGAGGAGAGAGCCGGAACUAAGCGACGGCAUGGAAGCCCGAGCGAUAGAGAAACAGGGGUGUGUUCCUGUCCCGCGCUGCCGUGCGGCGACGCGGAUGCGUCUGUUGACGGGCGUGGUUAUGUGGAGCAGAGCAGCCAUCUCUGCGCAACGGCGAAGCGUGCCCGGAGAUGGGUCAGCCAGCGGACGGCACGCAGACCGGAGCGGCCGACAUGUGCGGCUUCCGCAGACAGCACGCUCCCUUGAAAAGACAGRCGUGCRGGCAGCGCGACCGUACCGAUAACCGCGACAGGUCUCCUAGGUGAAUAGCCUCUGGUUGAUGUUGAACGCAGGUAAGGGAAGUCGGCAAAAUGGAUGCGUAACUUCGGGAGAAGUAUUGGUUCUUAUGGAACUCUUGGUGGCACGGGGAAUCUGACUGUUUAAUAAAAACAUAGCUUCAUGAAGGAGAGAUGAAGUGAGUUCUGCCCGGUGCUCGAACAGUGAAAGGGAGGAAAUAACUGUAAGCACGGGUUAACGGCGGGAGUAACUAUGACUCUCUUAAGGUAGCCAAACGCCUCGUCACUUAAAUGGUGACGCGCAUGAAUGGAAUGACGAGAUUCCCGCUGUCCCUAUCUGCAGACUAGCGAAACCACGGGCCAGGGGAACGGGCCUGGCACAGUCAGCGGGGAAAGAAGACCCUGUUGAGCUUGACUCUAGUGUGGCAGAGCGGUGGGGACAGUUGCGAUGUAGGUAGGUGGGAGCCCUCGGGCACAAGUGAAAGACCACUGCGCAACAGUCCCCAUUGCACACCCUUGCGGGGAUGGAUGCCAGAUGGGGAGUUUGGCUGGGGCGGCACGGCUGCAGYAACAGAACGCAGCCGUCCGAAGGCACUUGCAGCGAGACGAGAACACCCGCGUAGAGCAUAAGGGCUUUAGAGUGCUUGAGCACGGGCUAUGCGGCCCGUGUGCGGGGAAACCCAGGCCUAGAGAUCCCACRAACACGAGACGGAUUGUGACGUGGGUGACAGAAAAGUUACCGCAGGGAUAACUGGCUUGUGGCACCCGAGCGCAGAAAGCGACGGUGCUUUUUGAUUCUUCGAUUCGACUCUUCCUAUCAUGGCCAUGCAGGAGUGGCGAAGUGUUGGAUUGU